UACGGAGGGGACUAGCGUUGUUCGGAAUUACUGGGCGUAAAGCGCACGUAGGCGGAUUGUUAAGUCAGGGGUGAAAUCCCGGGGCUCAACCCUGGAACUGCCUUUGAUACUGGGUAUCUCGAGUCCGGAAGAGGUGAGUGGAAUUCCGAGUGUAGAGGUGAAAUUCGUAGAUAUUCGGAAGAACACCAGUGGCGAAGGCGACUCGCUGGACAGACAUUGACGCUGAGGUGCGGAAAGCGUGGGGAGCAA
rnacentral:rRNA from 1 species